UGGCUCGAGGACGAACGCUGGCGGCGUGCUUAACACAUGCAAGUCGAGCGGAAAGGCUCCUUCGGGGGUACUCGAGCGGCGAACGGGUGAGUAACACGUGAGUAAUCUGCCCUUGGCUUUGGGAUAAGCCCCGGAAACGGGGUCUAAUACCGGAUACGACGCACUCUCGCAUGGGAUGUGUGUGGAAAGUUUUUCGGCCAGGGAUGUGCUCGCGGCCUAUCAGCUUGUUGGUGGGGUAAUGGCCUACCAAGGCUUCGACGGGUAGCCGGCCUGAGAGGGUGACCGGCCACACUGGGACUGAGACACGGCCCAGACUCCUACGGGAGGCAGCAGUGGGGAAUAUUGGACAAUGGGCGGAAGCCUGAUCCAGCAACGCCGCGUGAGGGAUGACGGCCUUCGGGUUGUAAACCUCUUUCAGUACCGACGAAGCGCCGAUGAUGGUGGUGACGGUAGGUACAGAAGAAGCACCGGCCAACUACGUG
rnacentral:rRNA from 1 species